GCAGAGAAAGUACAUUUAUUGAAGAUGGCAGUGGGAAGAGGAACAAAUCAAGGGGACUGGUGAUCCCUGUGUCAUCUUUGGGGUACUGCCAUGACGUUUGGGUUUAAAUGGAAGGAAAGAGGCAUGCAUAACUAAACAGACUGGGUCAAGAUGUGGUCCUGCCCAUCCUAACUUCAGUUCUAAUCUGUCCUUUAAGGUGAUCUGGUCAGUUGUCAGAAUUGUGUGAAGUCUCAUCUUGGAUUCAUGCCGCUCUUCUGGCUGACACCAGGCUUCAGCCUUUCUCUUCCUCCAGCGUGAGAUUUUUGGAGGAAGCUUUAAUUCUUUGAGGUCCGUUGUUCCAAUAGUUGGAUGGCACAAAAGUUACUCUCUCUGCUCUCCUGUCCACAUAGUUUUAGCAAUAUGUGUCUAGCAUUUUCCAGGCCCUGGGUUCAGUUCUCAGUUACAGAAAACCAAGACAUGGACAACAACACAAAAAUUGUAAUCAUUAAGUUUUGGGGGUUAAUGGUUCUUUGGCAGCUCUGAGAAGAGGCUGUCUGUGUUCCCAUGGAUUUAAAGACAUAUGUUACCCCGUUGCUGUUCUUUUAGAAUCCUAACUUUUUACUUAAUCUGUUGGUCAGAUUUUUGAGCUGUUUAGGGGUUUGGUGGUCUCAGGUUGUAGCCCAGGCUAGCUUGGAUGGAACUUGAGGUUGUCUUGCCUCAGCCCCAUGAGUGUUUUGAUUACAGGCUUGUGCUCAGCUUGUGUUUCUUAGUCUUGUUUUUCUUGUUUGUUUGUUUGUUUUCCUUUGAGACAGGGUUUCUCUGUGAAGCCCUGGCUAUCCUGGCACUUACUCUGUAGACCAGGCUGGCCUCAAACUCAGAGAUCCGCCUGUCUCUGCCUCCCAAAUGCUGGGAUUAAAGGCGUACAUCACCACUGCCCAGCUUGUUUCUUAUUCUUGAACAUUCAUCUUAAGAUCUUGUUAGCUAGGACAGCUGCCUCAAAAAUUGUUUCUUCCUAGAUGUUGCCUUUUGAGGAAGGCAUUUUCCAUGUCCUAUCCUAGAUAGAUUUGGAGUCCUGUUUUUGUGUCAGUAAUUACUUGAUCCACGUUCCAAGGCUGGGCCUUUAACAUCAAUGCUGUUCUCUUGCUGCAUCUUGGAGACACUGUAGUUAGAAGUUAGACACCGAAGAGCAGGUGAGAUGGCUCAGUGAGGAAAGGCCUGCCUAUCUCUGGAACCCACAUAAUGGAAGGAGAGAACCAACCCUUGAUCAUUGUCCUCUUAACCUGUGUGUGCUAAUUUGAUUUUUUUUUUCCUUUAAAGAUAAGGUCUCUGUGUAGCCCUGGCUAUCCUGGAACUCACUAUCUAGACCAGGCUGGCUUUGAACUCUCAGAGAUCAGCCUGCCUCCCAAGUGCUGGGAUUAAAGAUGUGUACCAUUACACCCAGCCAACUUUUAAGAUUUUAAACUUUAUGUAAUUAACUAUUUUGAGAUAGGCUCUUACAGCCUGGGCUGGUCUCAGACUUGCUGUCUGUCUGAGGAGGACUUUGAACUUGUGCUGCAUUCCCCUCCAGUGUGCACCAGCAUGGCAGUGUCUUCUUAGUGAGUGCACUGUAUUUGGUGGUUAGAGGACAAUUGAUACCUACUUACUUGAUUACCUAUAUGUUUACCUAUAGGCUCAACAAUCCUGUAGAAAUUUGAAGGUACAUUUUGAGCAUCAUGGGAAUGGCACAUGUACAAGGCUAUGAUAGGUGCAGUCAAUUGCACGAAUUGGAAACCACCUACACAGAGGAACAAUGGACUAAACAGUGAUGUGUUCCCCAGGGAAACACAGCUACAAGAAUGAUUGAGAGCGGUCCCAGUGAACUGUGGGGUGUUUCCUCAACAUAGAUUAAGAGGCAGCGUGGUAGAACACACUGUUAAUCCUAGCACUUGAGAGGCAGAGGCAUAGGCAGUUAGAUCUCUGUGAGUUUGAGGUUAGUCUGGUCUGUAUAGUGAGUUCUAGGUCAGCUAGGGCUACUACAUAAGGAGAUCAUGAUUCCCUGUGAGCCCCCCCCCCCAACCUUCCCCUUAUGACAUGGGGCUGGGAUCACUCAGUGGUUAAGAGCAUUGGCUGCUCUUUCAUAGACCUAGAUUUAAGUCCUGGGACCCAUGUGGUGGCUCAUAACUGUCUGUAACUCCAGUUCCAGGAAGUCUGACUGCCUUCCUGGCCUUUCCAAGCACCGUGUAUGUAAUGGUGCACAGAUGUAUAUACAGGAAGAUACUGAUACACAUAAAAAAUUC
rnacentral:lncRNA from 1 species